GUGGGGAAUAUUCCGCAAUGGACGAAAGUCUGACGGAGCAACGCCGCGUGAGUGAUGAAGGUUUUCGGACUGUAAAGCUCUGUUGUUUGGGACGAAAGUGCCUGUUGCGAACAGUUACGGGUAUUGACGGUACUAAACGAGGAAGCCACGGCUAACUACGUGCCAGCAGCCGCGGUAAUACGUAGGUGGCAAGCGUUGUCCGGAAUUAUUGGGCGUAAAGAGCAUGUAGGCGGGAAUCUAAGUCUGUUGUUAAAAUGCGGGGCUCAACCCCGUAUUGCGAUGGAAACUGGGUUUCUUGAGUGCAGGAGAGGAAAGGGGAAUUCCCAGUGUAGCGGUGAAAUGCGUAGAUAUUGGGAGGAACACCAGUGGCGAAGGCGCCUUUCUGGACUGUGUCUGACGCUGAGAUGCGAAAGCCAGGGUAGCGAACGGGAUUAGAUACCCUUGUAGUCC
rnacentral:rRNA from 1 species